UGUCUAAUGCGGGAUUUGAACCCGGGUCGUGACUGUCGAAAAUUCAUAUCUUAGACCACUCGUCCACCAAGC